AUUGAACGCUGGCGGCAUGCCUUACACAUGCAAGUCGAACGGCAGCACGGGAGCAAUCCUGGUGGCGAGUGGCGAACGGGUGAGUAAUAUAUCGGAACGUGCCCAGUAGUGGGGGAUGACUGCUCGAAAGAGCAGCUAAUACCGCAUACGACCUGAGGGUGAAAGGGGGGGAUCGCAAGACCUCUCGCUAUUGGAGCGGCCGGUAUCAGAUUAGCUAGUUGGUGGGGUAAAGGCCUACCAAGGCAACGAUCUGUAGUUGGUCUGGGAGGACGACCAGCCACACUGGGACUGAGACACGGCCCAGACUCCUACGGGAGGCAGCAGUGGGGAAUUUUGGACAAUGGGCGCAAGCCUGAUCCAGCAAUGCCGCGUGCAGGAAGAAGGCCUUCGGGUUGUAAACUGCUUUUGUCAGGGAAGAAAUCCUCUAGGUUAAUACCCUUGGGGGGAUGACGGUACCUGAAGAAUAAGCACCGGCUAACUACGUGCCAGCCGCCGCCGUAAUAC
rnacentral:rRNA from 1 species